CUUUGGCCAGAGAAUUAUGUUUUAGGCGGCAUUUUCUUUCUCUCCAUUCUCCUUCACUUUCACGAGUGCCUAAUUUGUUCCAUAAAUUUGAAAUCAGUUUUCUUUCCAUCUUAAUUCCAAUAAAAAAACCCUAAUCAAAGCUUAUUUCACCAUCGAUCUUUCUGUUGGUUCUCUUCCGUUGUUUUCUCCAAACCCUAGAAUUGAUUGUUCUUUGUUGAGGCUUGAUCUAGAGCUCGAAUUGAUUGUUCUUUGUUUCAGCCAAACCAUUCACAACCCUAAUUUUCAUCUAUCUCCUAUUCGUGUAAGCGAUGAUGGCUAUUGAACAAACCCUAGAUGAUGGCGAUUGAAGAAACCGAACAAACCAUGAAGAACCCUAAUUAUAUGCUUAUAAACUGCAGUAGGUGGAGUAUAUAAUCAGUUGAUCCUUUGAAACUACUUCUACAAGGUUGUUGGAACAAGAAGAAUGGUCAGCAAGUUUUUCUUAAACACCAAUUCCAUGUACCGAUUCAAGAUUUAGGGUUUUUUCGUUCAACUUUAUACAUGAGAUUUCUCACUCAAUCAAGUCAGGAUUUAGAGAGGAUAUGAAGAAAAGCAGGCACGUUUCAAGUAACGCACGCAAAAGUUGAGAAGGAGAUGGCUUCGGUUCAAGGGCAAUUGGGAUUAUCAGGUGAAAUAUUGGAGAUCUGAUUUGACUCUGUUUUCACAUGGCAUUUUUCAUCUGUUUUGAAAGAGGAGCAACAAAUGGUGAUGCUUGGACAUCGAUAAUCAAACCUUCAGAAGGAAGGAACUAAAUCGAUACAUCCCGACUGGUGUUAAUAUAGGACUUUGUCUGACAGGUUAUUGACAAAUGUGGAAAAAAGAGCUGGUAGGUAUAAACAGAUUUUGGUCAAGCCAAAUGUAUUUGAGAAAUAUCAUAUAUACCCAAUUUUUGGAUGCGCUUUUGUGUUCUUAUCUUCGAAUUGACAGAGGUUAAACUGAAGACACUGGCUGAAAUCGAUGCACAAGGAAAGAUUCUUCCUAAGUUUUUAGUUCGUUCGAAAUUCAUAUUUUAUAGGUUUUCAUUUCGUUUCUGUUCUAAAUAUGCAGGAUACUAAUGGCGAUUUUAAUUUCUUGAAGUCAGGGUUGCACAAAUGGGCGGGUGAUGCAUACGAGUUUAAUAAAAAAGAACCCUACAUUGAGCUCGUGACUUCUCCAAACAACCCUAAUGGAUUCACGAGACAUGAUGUAGUCAAAGGAGAUAAGGGGAUUCUGAUUGAUGAUCUUGCUUUUUACCAGCCACAAUAUACACUGAUUUUAUCUCUUGUAGAGUAUGAUAUAAUGAUUUUAUCGCUUCAAUCAAGAGGGAACGUUUUUGAUGUACGUUUGAUCUGUUUAUCACCAAUCGAGGUAACUUUUUUUAUAUUAGUUCUCGAUUUGUUGUUUAGCAUCUUUAAACUCGCAUGAUUAUGUUUAAUGGAAAGUUGUAUUCUGUAAAAGAUUGGAUAUUAGUUCUCGAUUUGUUGUUUAGCCUCUUUAAACUCGCAUGAUUAAUUUUAAAAGUAUUAGUGCAGUGAUUUUUUUAGUGAAAUUGUAUACGAAACCUUUCAUUUGAAUUUUAAAUUGUUUUAUAACUUAUAAACUUAAUACCGGCCAACUCCAUCAUACUGGCAAUAUCUCCCGCUAAUCAGGAUAUUGCCACAUCGGAUGCAAUUAAACAUGCCAAAGAAGUGAGUAUUUUGCUACAAGUCCUGACUACGAUCAUUUGGCCAAUAAAAUGGGUUCUGAGUAUUAGGCAAAACUUUUAUCUGAGCAUUUGGAAUGGGUAAUCAAAUCAAAAUUACUAGGCAUUGUUUCCAUGAUCAACAAAUGUAUCAAGGAGAUGGAAGCAGAGUUGGACCGUCUUGGGAGGCUAAUUGUAGUAGAUGCAAGGGCACAAUUAUACACCAUCUUGGAACUUUUUCAUGCUUUUGACAAAAUAUUUAAGGAGCAUCUAGAUGGAGGGUAAGUGUCACACCCCGACCGAUGGCGGAAUCAUCGGGGCGCGACACUGAACGAAAGAGAUUGUCCAUGAGUAUCCAUAACAACUAUUAAUUACCAGAUACUUAAAACGUCAUGUCCCAUACCAUAACAUAUCCAAAUAAAACAGUUAUUACAAAUAAUUGUCUCAUAAACAAAUACUGAUCCGACAACUCAGAUUUCAAGAACAGACAAUUCGUUUAUUUGUUU